UACGAAGGGGGCUAGCGUUGCUCGGAAUGACUGGGCGUAAAGGGCGCGUAGGCGGAUGGCACAGUCAGAUGUGAAAUUCCCGGGCUUAACCUGGGGGCUGCAUUUGAUACGUGUGAUCUAGAGUGAGGAAGAGGGUCGUGGAAUUCCCAGUGUAGAGGUGAAAUUCGUAGAUAUUGGGAGGAAUACCGGUGGCGAAGGCGACCGCCUGGACGAAGACUGACGCUGAGGCGCGAGAGCGUGGGGAGCAAACAGG
rnacentral:rRNA from 1 species